GGUGGGCCGGAGCAGGAGACCCCUGGCUCCGGGUCACAUAAUCUCACAGCACGAGUUCUGCUUUCGGGCAGUUUUGUAGAAGGCUUUGGACUGCACCCCAAGCACCUCUGAUUUGGACACCAGAUCAUCCAGCUUCUCCCCUCGCUCCAGCAGCGACUCCAUAGUGUUGUGCAGGAUGAUUUUGGUCUCGUCCAGCUCCGCCUGCACUCUGGUCAUCGGGUCGGCAUCGCGGGGGUUCUGGUAUUUGCUGAGGUAUCCGUCCAGAGCUGCGUAGCUGAUGGUGGCAGGAGACCCCGAGGGCCAGUCUGCCCUGCUCACCUGCCUGGAGAACUCCUCCAGGACCUGCGUGUGAGGGAGCGGGGUUUGUUCCCCCAGCACAGAGCCGGCAGACCCACAGGGAGCCCCCCGCACUCCCAGAGGUGACCCACAAAUCCCACCCCGCACCGCUCACCUUGUCCAGCAAAGUGAAGC
rnacentral:lncRNA from 1 species